rnacentral:ncRNA from 1 species
GCAUCACAACGGCUUCCUGGCGUGGUGUUUUACAUUCAAUGGAGCG